rnacentral:lncRNA from 1 species
AAAUUGAUUUCAAAAUUUUGAUGAAUAUACGUAUUAAGAAUUUAUAUAAUCUGUCAAAUUAAUAAAAAGUGGAGUAAAACCGAUAAUUAAUAUGAAUUUAAUUCAAGAUGAAUUCCGGUUAAAGCACUUUGAAAAAUUCUAAUCUUCCCAAAAUAAAGAUGUUUAAUCGUCUCCUUUCUCAAAGACAAAUUUUUUAAAUUCCUAAACACCUUUCCUCAAAUCAAUUUUAAAUAAAAUUCAAGAACCAAAAAUCAUCUAAACAU